GUGCUCUCUAUCGCUGUCAUA
rnacentral:miRNA from 1 species